rnacentral:rRNA from 1 species
GCUCAUCGAAGAACGCAUCAACAGGGUCCCUGUAAGACUUGUGCCGCGACGUGCUCAAGUAAACGUGCGCGACCUGCCUGUAAUACUGGGAUAACUUCGGGAAACCGGAGCUAAUACCGGAUAAUGCAUAACCUCUCAUGAGGCUAUGCUGAAAGAUGGUUUCGGCUAUCACUUACAGAUGGGCCCGCGGCGCAUUAGCUAGUUGGUGAGGUAACGGCUCACCAAGGCAACGAUGCGUAGCCGACCUGAGAGGGUGAUCGGCCACACUGGGACUGAGACACGGCCCAGACUCCUACGGGAGGCAGCAGUAGGGAAUCUUCCGCAAUGGACGAAAGUCUGACGGAGCAACGCCGCGUGAGUGAUGAAGGUUUUCGGAUCGUAAAACUCUGUUGUCAGGGAAGAACAAGUGCCGGAGUAACUGCCGGCACCUUGACGGUACCUGACCAGAAAGCCACGGCUAACUACGUGCCAGCAGCCGCGGUAAUACGUAGGUGGCAAGCGUUGUCCGGAAUUAUUGGGCGUAAAGCGCGCGCAGGCGGUCUCUUAAGUCUGAUGUGAAAGCCCACGGCUCAACCGUGGAGGGUCAUUGGAAACUGGGGGACUUGAGUGCAGAAGAGGAAAGUGGAAUUCCACGUGUAGCGGUGAAAUGCGUAGAGAUGUGGAGGAACACCAGUGGCGAAGGCGACUUUCUGGUCUGUAACUGACGCUGAGGCGCGAAAGCGUGGGGAGCAAACGCGAUUAGAUACCCUGGUAUUCCACGCCGUAAACGAUGAGUGCUAAGUGUUAGAGGGUUUCCGCCCUUUAUUGCUGCAACAAACGCAUUAUUCACUCCGCCUGCGGGAGUACGGCCGCAGGGUGAAACUCAAAGGAAUUGUCGAGGGCCCCCACAACGGUGUUACAUGCUGUUUAUUUCGAACCGGCGGGGAGAACUUAU